rnacentral:rRNA from 1 species
CCUACGGGCGGCUGCAGUGGGGAAUAUUGGACAAUGGGCGAAAGCCUGAUCCAGCCAUGCCGCGUGUGUCAAGAAGGCCUUCGGGUUGUAAAGCACUUUCAGUGGGGAAGAAAGCCUUGGGGCUAAUACCCUCGAGGAAGGACAUCACCCACAGAAGAAGCACCGGCUAACUCCGUGCCAGCAGCCGCGGUAAUACGGAGGGUGCGAGCGUUAAUCGGAAUUACUGGGCGUAAAGCGCGCGUAGGCGGUCUGAUAAGCCGGUUGUGAAAGCCCCGGGCUCAACCUGGGAACGGCAUCCGGAACUGUCAGGCUAGAGUGCAGGAGAGGAAGGUAGAAUUCCCGGUGUAGCGGUGAAAUGCGUAGAGAUCGGGAGGAAUACCAGUGGCGAAGGCGGCCUUCUGGACUGACACUGACGCUGAGGUGCGAAAGCGUGGGUAGCAAACAGGAUUAGAUACCCUGGUAGUC